rnacentral:rRNA from 1 species
UACGGAGGGGGCUAGCGUUGUUCGGAAUUACUGGGCGUAAAGUGUGCGCAGGCGGCCGAGCAAGUCGAGUGUGAAAGCCCCGGGCUUAACUUGGGAAUUGCGCUCGAAACUACUUGGCUGGAGUGUGGCAGAGGAAGGUGGAAUUCCAGGUGUAGCGGUGAAGUGCGUAGAUAUCGGAAGGAACAUCAGUGGCGAAGGCGACCUCCUGGACCAAUACUGACACUCAAGUGCGAAAGCGUGGGAGCAAACAGG